UUCCCAUGUGGAGCGGGAAAAGCGCAGAAAUAUGGAGGAACACCAGGGGGCGAAGGCGACUUUUUUGUCUGUAAUUGACGCUGAUGUGCGAAAGCGUGGGGAUCAAACAGGAUUAGAUACCCUGGUUUUCCACGCCGUAAACGAUGAGUGCUAAGUGUUAGGGGGUUUCCGCCCCUUUAGUGCUGCAGCUAACGCAUUAAGCACUCCGCCUGGGGAGUACGACCGCAAGGUUGAAACUCAAAGGAAUUGACGGGGGCCCCGCACAAGCGGUGGAGCAUGUGGUUUAAUUUGAAGCAACGCGAAGAACCUUACCAAAUCUUGACAUCCUUUGACCGCUCUAGAGAUAGAGUUUUCUCCUUCGGGGGACAAAGUGACAGGUGGUGCAUGGUUGUCGUCAGCUCGUGUCGUGAGAUGUUGGGUUAAGUCCCGCAACGAGCGCAACCCUUAAGCUUAGUUGCCAUCAUUAAGUUGGGCACUCUAAGUUGACUGCCGGUGACAAACCGGAGGAAGGUGGGGAUGACGUCAAAUCAUCAUGCCCCUUAUGAUUUGGGCUACACACGUGCUACAAUGGACAAUACAAAGGGCAGCUAAACCGCGAGGUCAAGCAAAUCCCAUAAAGUUGUUCUCAGUUCGGAUUGUAGUCUGCAACUCGACUACAUGAAGCUGGAAUCGCUAGUAAUCGUAGAUCAGCAUGCUACGGUGAAUACGUUCCCGGGUCUUGUACACACCGCCCGUCACACCACGAGAGUUUGUUACACCCGAAGCCGGUGGAGUAACCAUUUAUGGAGCUAGGCGCGGUC
rnacentral:rRNA from 1 species